rnacentral:rRNA from 1 species
AGUGAACGCUGGCGGUAGGCCUAACACAUGCCAGUCGAACGGCAGCACAGUAAGAGCUUGCUCUUACGGGUGGCGAGUGGCGGACGGGUGAGGAAUACAUCGGAAUCUACUUUUUCGUGGGGGAUAACGUAGGGAAACUUACGCUAAUACCGCAUACGACCUACGGGUGAAAGCAGGGGAUCUUCGGACCUUGCGCGAUUGAAUGAGCCGAUGUCGGAUUAGCUAGUUGGCGGGGUAAAGGCCCACCAAGGCGACGAUCCGUAGCUGGUCUGAGAGGAUGAUCAGCCACACUGGUACUGAGACACGGUCCAGACUCCUACGGGAGGCAGCAGUGGGGAAUAUUGGACAAUGGGCGCAAGCCUGAUCCAGCCAUACCGCGUGGGUGAAGAAGGCCUUCGGGUUGUAAAGCCCUUUUGUUGGGAAAGAAAAGCAGCAGGUUAAUACCCCGCUGUUCUGACGGUACCCAAAGAAUAAGCACCGGCUAACUUCGUG